rnacentral:rRNA from 1 species
AGCGAACGCUGGCGGCAUGCCUUACACAUGCAAGUCGAACGGCAGCACGGGAGCUUGCUCCUGGUGGCGAGUGGCGAACGGGUGAGUAACAUAUCGGAACGUACCCAGUCGUGGGGGAUAACUAUCCGAAAGGAUAGCUAAUACCGCAUACGUCCUGAGGGAGAAAGCGGGGGAUCGCAAGACCUCGCGCGAUUGGAGCGGCCGAUAUCGGAUUAGCUAGUUGGUGGGGUAAAGGCUCACCAAGGCGACGAUCCGUAGCGGGUCUGAGAGGACGACCAGCCACACUGGAACUGAGACACGGUCCAGACUCCUACGGGAGGCAGCAGUGGGGAAUUUUGGACAAUGGGGGGCAACCCUGAUCCAGCAAUGCCGCGUGAGUGAAGAAGGCCUCGGUUGGUUAAA